GACGAACGCUGGCGGCGUGCUUAACACAUGCAAGUCGAACGGAAAGGCCCGGCUUUUGUUGGGUGCUCGAUUGGCGAACGGGGGAGUAACACGUGAGUAACCUGCCCUUGACUGUGGGGUAACUUCAGGGAACUGGGGCGAUUACCGGGUAUGAUCUUCUGCUGCGUGUUGUUGGUUGGUAAGUGUCGGUGUUGGGGUAUGGACUCGCGGCUUAUCAGCUGGUUGGUGGGGUAGUUGCGUACCAAGGCUUUGACGGCUAGGCGGCCUGAGAGGGUGACCGGCCACAUUGGGACUGAGGUACGCCCCAGACUCCUACGGGAGGCAACAGUGGGAAAUCUUGCAGAAUGGGCGGAAGCCUGAUGCAGAAACGCCGGGUGCGGGAAGACCGCUUUUGGGUGGUAAACAGCUUUCGACUGUGACGAAGAGUGCGUGACGGUAACGAGUAAAGAAGCCACGGCUAACUACGUG
rnacentral:rRNA from 1 species